GGGCCCAUAGCUCAGCCCGGUUAGAGCGCUGCCCUGAUAAGGCAGAGGUCCCUGGUUCAAGUCCAGGUGGGCCCA
rnacentral:tRNA from 1 species